rnacentral:rRNA from 1 species
AGAGUUUGAUCCUGGCUCAGAUUGAACGCUGGCGGCGUGCCUAACACAUGCAAGUCCAACGUGAAAGGGGAGCAAUUCCCCGGUAGGGUGGCAAACGGGUGAGUAGUACAUGGGUGAUCUACCUUAGGGAUGGGAUAUCCUUCCGAAAGGAGGGGCAAUACCGAAUAUUGUCCGGAGCCGUGAAGGUUCCGGGAAGGGAGGCCUCUGAUACAAGCUUUCGCCUUAAGAUGAGCCCAUGGCCCAAUCAGCUAGUUGGUAGGGUAAAGGCCUACCAAGGCGACGAUCGGUAGCUGGUCUGAGAGGAUGAUCAGCCACACUGGGACUGAGACACGGCCCAGACUCCUACGGGAGGCGAC